GACGUAGGGGGCGAGCGUUGUCCGGAAUCACUGGGCGUAAAGGGCGCGUAGGCGGCCUGGCAAGUCGGAUGUGAAAGGCCCCGGCUCAACCGGGGAGGUGCAUUCGAAACUGCCGGGCUUGAGGGCAGGAGAGGGCAGCGGAAUUCCCGGUGGAGCGGUGAAAUGCGUAGAGAUCGGGAGGAACACCAGUGGCGAAGGCGGCUGCCUGGCCUGGCCCUGACGCUGAGGCGCGACAGCGUGGGGAGCGAAC
rnacentral:rRNA from 1 species